AUGCCAGCUCAGAACAUAACAAGUACUUUGAAUAUCACUAAAGGAAAAUCAAGGUGCAGAACUCACUCAGCUCUUCCCUAGGAGGACCAAGCUUUGCAUCAGGUGCAGUGCUGCCUGCCCCACUGGGCCAUGGGCCCCGGGCUCCUCUGCUGGGCGCUGCUUUGUCUCCUGGGAGCAGGCUCAGUGGACGGUGGAGUCACCCAAAGUCCCAGGCAUUUGAUCAAAACAACAGGACAGCAAGUGACACUGAGAUGCUCUCCUAUCUCUGGGCACAACAGUGUGUCCUGGUACCAACAGGCCCUGGGUCAGGGGCCCCAGUUUAUCUUUGAGUAUUAUGAGGAGAAAGAGAGAGAGAGAGGCAACUUCCCUGAUCGAUUCUCAGGUCACCAGUUCCCUAACUAUAGCUCUGAGCUGAACGUGAAUGCCUUGGAGGCGGGGGACUCGGCCCUGUAUCUCUGUGCCAGCAGCUUGGCACAGCCCGGCAGAGUCACUGGCAUUCUGUAUAUAAACUUCCCGCCUUAG